GUGGUUUCGUGGAAGAGUUUUCGGUGAACAGUUUGUACUUUUAUCGACCGUCAUGUCUCGUAUCUCUAUUGAUAUAUUGACUUCGGAAAGGAAAGAUGUAUGUAUAGAAUUAAAAACAACACAAUAUUCGCGUGGCAAGCAGUGCAAAAAAUGGUAGAAAUAAUGUCAAAACUUUCAAAAAGAUGGAAGAAAACGCUGUUUUUCCCUCCCUCCCCUCCCCCAACCGGAUCUGAA